AGAAUAAAAGUUUUUUUUAGUGUGCUGAUUCAGCCGUGUUAUAGGUGAAACUAUAUCGGAAUCUUACCAGGAUGAGAAAUUUAAGAAUAGAAGAGUAGUGCAAGAAUCAAAGAAUAAUGGUGCGUCCGAGUGGACUCGAACCACCGACCCCCACCA
rnacentral:antisense_RNA from 1 species